CAUUUCUUCAAACAAAAACUGCUUCAAAGCUCAUUGUGUGAAACGUGAUUUUCCAAAUGUAUGCUUUUGAAAAUUGAAAUCUUGUUUAUCCCACUCCUGGCAAACAGCCAUGUUUUUGAGUUUAGUAAGGAUGACCACCCACCGAAACUUCGUUAGUGAGCCAUGCCCGCGAUCAUUGAUGAACUUUAGACUUCGCUAAUGCGUUCGCUUCCCCGCGGGUGUAAAUAGC